UGGGGAAUAUUGGACAAUGGGGGCAACCCUGAUCCAGCAAUGCCGCGUGUGUGAAGAAGGUCUUCGGAUUGUAAAGCACUUUCGACGGGGACGAUGAUGACGGUACCCGUAGAAGAAGCCCCGGCUAACUUCGUGCCAGCAGCCGCGGUAAUACGAAGGGGGCUAGCGUUGCUCGGAAUGACUGGGCGUAAAGGGCGUGUAGGCGGUUUACACAGUCAGAUGUGAAAAU
rnacentral:rRNA from 1 species